rnacentral:rRNA from 1 species
AGUGAACGCUGGCGGUAGGCCUAACACAUGCAAGUCGAACGGCAGCACAGUAAGAGCUUGCUCUUACGGGUGGCGAGUGGCGGACGGGUGAGGAAUACAUCGGAAUCUACUUUUUCGUGGGGGAUAACGUAGGGAAACUUACGCUAAUACCGCAUACGACCUACGGGUGAAAGCAGGGGAUCUUCGGACCUUGCGCGAUUGAAUGAGCCGAUGUCGGAUUAGCUAGUUGGCGGGGUAAAGGCCCACCAAGGCGACGGUCCGUAGCUGGUCUGAGAGGAGGAUCAGCCACACUGGAACUGAGACACGGUCCAGACUCCUACGGGAGGAAGCAGUGGGGAAUAUUGGACAAUGGGCGCAAGCCUGAUCCAGCCAUACCGCGUGGGUGAAGAAGGCCUUCGGGUUGUAAAGCCCUUUUGUUGGGAAAGAAAAGCAGCAGGUUAAUACCCCGCUGUUCUGACGGUACCCAAAGAAUAAGCACCGGCUAACUUCGUG